GUGGGUAUAGCUCAGCUGGUAGAGCGCCUGGUUGUGGUCCAGGAGGUCGCGGGUUCAAGCCCCGUUACUCACCCCAUUG
rnacentral:tRNA from 1 species